rnacentral:rRNA from 1 species
UGAGCUCAGGCAAGAACACC